AGCCAGACUCCUACGGGAGGCAGCAGUGGGGAAUAUUGCACAAUGGGGGGAACCCUGAUGCAGCGACGCCGCGUGAGCGAAGAAGUAUUUCGGUAUGUAAAGCUCUAUCAGCAGGGAAGAAAAUGACGGUACCUGACUAAGAAGCCCCGGCUAACUACGUGCCAGCAGCCGCGGUAAUACGUAGGGGGCAAGCGUUAUCCGGAUUUACUGGGUGUAAAGGGAGCGCAGGCGGCGCGGUAAGUCUGAUGUGAAAGCCCGGGGCUCAACCCCGGGACUGCAUUGGAAACUGUCGUGCUGGAGUGUCGGAGGGGCAAGUGGAAUUCCUAGUGUAGCGGUGAAAUGCGUAGAUAUUAGGAGGAACACCAGUGGCGAAGGCGGCUUACUGGACUGUAACUGACACUGAGGCUCGAAAGCGUGGGGAGCAAACAGGAUUAGAUACCCGGGUAC
rnacentral:rRNA from 1 species